rnacentral:lncRNA from 1 species
GCAAAGCAUCGCCCGCAGACCGAGGGGAGACAAAGUUGAGGCAGCGCGAGGGGGCUUCCGAGCUCAGCCCUCCGCACUUAAAGGAAAGACCCCCGGAGCUGCAGCCCAGAAGCUGCCGCUGACCUCGCCAUGCGGCUCUCUGACCUGAGACCCUGGGCCGCCCUACUGCUGGCGGACUCGGCCUUACUCUGGCUGCUCCAGGGACCUCUGGAGGCUCUGCUUCCCCGAGGGCUUCCAGGCCUGUGGCUGGAGGGCACCUUGCAACUUGGAGGGCUUUGGUGGCUGCUGAGGCUGGGAGGGCUGCUGGGAUAUGCGCGGACNCCCCCCCCCCCCCCCCCCCCGCUCCCCGCCCCGUCUGGUGAUCCCUCUGUUUUCCUGAGGGUUCUGGUCUCAGGAACCUUGAAUGUGCCCCCAGCAGAGUGGCUUCAGUCCCUUGGUGCUGCUGCUGCUGGGGUCCGGGGCUGCAGGGCUCAGCUGGGAAGUGUGGGCUGUGCAAACUGUGCAGUUUGCUGGAUUAGGAGCAAGAUGUCUGCUUGUAUAAGGAGGCUCUCAAAUGAUGCUGGCACCUGUGGUGGCCAGGAGACCUGGAACAGGCCCUCUGCCUGCUCUUAAGGAGGGUGAGGAAGCUGGGGGAAGGGCGGGGGCAAGGGAGGGGGAGGGAAAGCAGGGGUUCUGGUCCUCCAGCUGCUCCUGGGGUCCUUGCCGCUUACUGGCAGGGAGGGCAGGAAUGAAAGAUUCUCAGGUCCCCUUUUCUUCUCCCUCUAGAUGCUGCACUUGACAAUGAAGGUGCUGUUGCUGAGCUGUGGGCUGCAGCAGGUCCUGGCUGGGACGUCACCCAGGGCGGGCUGCUGUCCUUUCUGCUCUACCAGGAGAACCUGGGCUCCUACAAGCAAGUGAGUCGGGAGCUGUGCAGGCUGUCUUUCCCACCCCCCUGUUUUCCCCUCUGGCUUCUGGGCCUUGGGUUUUAUUUGUUCCUCUUUAAAAUACAAAAAACAAAACCAAACAAAAACGAAAUAACUCUUAAUUUGUUUGCUAUGAAGAAUUUCAAACAGAUGCAGAAAACCCCACCCCAUGUAAUGAACCCCCAUGUACCCAUCCGCUUUAACAGUUAUCACCUGAAGGCCAGUCUUGUUUCAUCUGUUUCCCCAUCACUCCUCCCAUAUUCUUUUGAAGCAAACCCAAGGUAUGCUUUCAUCUGUAAAUAUUUCUGCGUGUAUCUCUAAACAUAAAAAAAAGUUAUACAGAUAAAACCACAAAGCCACGAUCACACCAGAAAAGUUAACAGUAGCAUCAUCAGUCAGUGGUCAAAUUUCCGCGUGUCUCAUAGAGGUAGUAGAAGUGUAUACACUGAGUCGAUCUCUUUCUCUCUCUCAUCUGUGGGGGCACCAUCCACCAGUGCUCAGGGUCCGUCACAUUACUGGGGGCUGCAAAACAGUGACCCUCGCCAUUCCCUCCUUCAUUAGCAGGGGUUCAUCUCUCAAGGGAGACGUCUCCUCAUCUGCUGUGUGGUUCCCAGGGGUGCAGUUUGAUGAAGAAAGGCAGAAUGAGCAUUCAGCUCCUUGCCUGUAAUUACCAGGUUCCAAAAAUAAUUAGUUCCUGCAUCUUGGGCUUUAUUCGAUAAUUUUCGUGGACAUUUGUUAAACAUGGUUAUGUUGGAGAGCUGCGUGGGAGGCACUCUGGGGGCUACAAAGAUGAGGUGGGCACAGUGCCUGCCUUUAAGGAGUCCCCUGUCUCAUCAGGCAGAACUGUGUAGGGGUCACAGGGACCAGUCCCUGGACAGGUGUGGGGUGGGAGGAACACUGUGUGGGAGGAGUGUGGAUGUCUCCUUCCUUUAUGUUGCAAAUUGGAGUAAUGGGGGAUUGGGGCUGAUGUUAAAUUCCAUCGGCAUUUAUUUUUUUUGUCUUUUUAGGGCUGCACCCGUGGCAUAUGGAGGUUCCCAGGCUAGGGGUCCAAUCGGAGCUGUAGCCACCGGCCUACGCCAGAGCCAUAGCAACGCAUGGCUGGGGCGGCAUGGGGCAGGGAGUGCGUGAGGAGGUGAGAGGUUGAAAGUAGAACUUUUGAUCUAUGAUCCAGCAAUUUGAAGUCUGAUAUUUUUCCAACGAACACAGAAACAUUACCUAUAAAGAUAGACUCAACCCUGUAUUUAUUGCAGCAUUAUUUACAGUAGCAAAGAUAUGGACGCAGCCUAAGUAUCUGUCAGUAGAACAGAUAAAGAAGAUACCACAGUGGAAUGUUACUCAGCCAUGAAAAAGAAUGAAAUUCUUCCAUUUACUACAACAUGGAUGGACUCAGUGGGUAUUAUGCUAAGUGAAAUAAGUCAGAGGAAGACGAAUACUCUAUGAUUUCACUUGUUGGUGGAAUUUAAGAAACAAAUGAACAGAACAAAACAGAAACUGACCCAAGAUACAGAGGACAAAGAGGUAGUUGUCAGAAAAGUGGUGGGUGGGGGCCAAAAACAUAGCCCGGCAGUUUCCGGCUCCAGGAUAAUGAGUUAGGAGCAGGGGGGCAUCUGUGUGUAUGUUCUGCCCCCAGUUGAUCACGCACUCUCUUCAUGGGUCAGGUCCCUGUGGUCUUGGUCCCAGACCCCCAGUUCUCAAGGACUUAAGGACCAGCAUGUUCUCAAAUACUGGAGGACAAUUGUGGGAUGUCUGAAAAAGUCUAAAGCCUCCUUGGGGGGAGGCGCUCCCACAUCCAGUGUCUGAGUCUUCCCCAAAUUUCCAGUGUCUGCUCGGGUCAUCUGGGAAAGAGAUUAGGGGCAGAGACCGUCCCUAAAGAAAGCCCCGUGCUGGCUUCGUGGUUUCCUUCACGGUGUCUCAUUUUUCUCUCCCCUCCUAGUGCAACCGGAGGUGACAGUGCAUCCGGAGAGGACCCCGUCCCUGCAGCUCCGCAACCUGCUGCUUUGCUCUGUGACAGGGUUCUACCCAGGGGCCAUCGAGAUCAGGUGGUUCCGGAACGGGCAGGAGCAGAGAGAGGGGGUCCUGGCCACUGGCCUCGUCAGGAAUGGAGACUGGACCUUUCAGACAGUGGUGAUGCUGGAAAUGACUCCUGAGCUUGGGGACGUCUACACCAGCCUGCUGAGCCCCGUUUCUGUGGAGUGGAGUGAGAAUCAGCUUCUUGUACUUUCGGGGUCCAUCUGACUCAAGACGGGUCCUGAGCUACCUCCAUGCUCAUCCUGGUCAGAACACUAGUUUGUCCGUCCUUCCCUGAUCUGAGGGAACCAUAGAAAUUGGGGUCGUGGGAGGAAACAUGCAGAGAUCUGUCUUUGUAUCUUCCAGACACUAAGGAGGUCUAAUCGUCUUGUCCCUUACUUCCAACUUUGGGAACUAGUGUUCCCUACACUUUGGUCUUGGUGUUUAAGGGGGAUUCUUUUUUUGGGGGGGGUCAUGCCUGCUGCCUGGGGAAGUUCCUGGGCUAGGGAUCAAACCUGUGCCACAGCAGUGACUCAAGCCACAGGAGUGACAAAGCUGGAUCCUUAACCCCCUGCACUACCAGGGAACUCCUCAUGGAACAUUCUUAAGGGCCAUCAGAAUCAAAAACGGAAACUCCAUGGGCACAAACCUUGGCUUUGAGGAUGUAUUACUUCCCUAGAUAACAUUGGAUUUGUGUCCUGCACAGGAUCUGGGGUUUUAAGAACUUACAUCAAAGCCUUUUGUUAACUUUAAGACCUGUUACUCAUAGGAGCUCACUCUGAACAUUCUUGGAGAAAGGUGCUAAGUGGAGUUGCAGCCUUCCUGGUGGGGCUCAUCUUUUUGGUGGGGAUUGUCCUUCAUGUCAAAGGUCUGGAAAGGUAAUGAGCUCUGAGGGGCCCCUGCCCUCUGCACCCCAGCUUCUCCCACUUCCUACUUUCCCUGAUGUCUAAGAUGCGAGCCAGGGAGGGCUGGCUGUGCUGCUUCAGGACCCCUGGGAUAAUCGGGGGUGGGGUUCUGGAACUGCAGGCGCCAGCUACACCAGUGAAGCAGAAGGGAACUGUGACACCACGCCCUGGACUGCGUACAAGAAAGUGCAGACUAGAAAGUGAAGACCCAGAAAUUGAAUGGAAAGAAAACAAAAAGCCAUGAAAUGAGAGUUAACUAAAGUCAGAAAAGAGAGUAAUAAUUAAAAAAAGACAAAAUCAGGAAGUUCCCCGGUGGCCUAGAGGUUAAGGAUUCCGCACUGUCACUGCUGUGGCUCAGGUUUGAACAUUGGCCUGGGAACUUCUGCAUGCCAUGGGCCCGGCCAAAAAAAACCCCAAACCAAAAUCAUAUUAGAAGUGAAGACUAGAUUACACCUGGGUAAUAUAUUUAAAUAAAAAGAUAAAAGAAGGCAUUGCAAAAAGGCAUAAAGAGAAUCAAGAGAAUUGACAAUCUAAUAAACUAGGUAAACAGGUAUCAGUGCUUAUAAUGGUUUCCUACUACAAAACAGAUGACCGCCACAGCAGGUUAAAACAAUACACAUUUGUUUUUUUCAUAGUUUUUGUGGGUCAGAGGUCCAGUUAUAACCUAAAAACUGGGUCCUCGGAGUUCUUGCUAUGGCACAGAGGGUUAAGAAUCUGACUCCAGUGGCUCGCGUUGCCGCAAAGGUUAGGGUUUGAUCCCUGGCCCAUGGCAGUGGGUUAAAGAAUCCGGUGUUGCUGCAGCUGGGCCUCAGAUUUAAUCCCUGCCUGGGGAAUUUCCAUAUGCUCCAGGUACGGCCGUAACCCCCGCCCCCCGCCCCAAACUAGUCUCUUCUUCAGGGUCUCAGGCUGCAGCUGAGGCAUUGUUCAGACUGUUGUGUUCCUUACUGGGGGCUCUACUGUCCAAAUUCAUGCAGGUUGUUGGCAGAAUUCACCUGCUCCAGAUGGGAGCUCUGAGGUCCCUGAUUUCCUGCUCAGCUCCUAGAGGUCACCUGCAGUUUCCUGCCCCAUGGCACUCUCCCAGGCUUAGAGCCAGCCAAGGAGAGUCUCUCCAGCACGCUAAAAUGAAGUUUUUUGUAAGAAACGUAAUCAGGAGUGACAGCCCAUCGCCUCUGACCUAUAAUAUCUUAUUCACAGACGUCCCGUCACCUUUGACCUAUAAUAUCCUAUUCACAGACAUCCUGUCACCUUUGCCAUAUUAUCCUGGUUAGAAGCAAGUCACAGGUCCCAUUAACUUUCAAAGGAAGAGAUUAUCCGAGGACUUGAUUCAUUGGAUGUCACUUUAGAAUGUGUCUGCUCUCUGGCCUUUGAUGAGCCUUGUCCCUUCCACGUGAACAAAUCAUCGUCCCAUUCCAAGUUUCCUUAAAGUCUCAUUCCAGUAUAGCAUCGGAUGAAAGUCCGGAAUCUCAUCAUCUGAAUCAGGUGCCGGUGAGGAGGAGGCUACUGGAGGUACAACUUUGUGGAGCUGUGAAACUAAGAGGCAGGAGAUCUGUCUCCAGUACAGCCAACUUAAAGUUGUCAGGCAGGCGUUGGGUAACUGCUAUAAAUAUUUCUGUCCAAAAAGGAGUUGCUGGUCCAUGGCAAUUCUGAAUUCCAGUUGAGAAAACUCCAGCCAGAGUCCUUGGUUAAAUUUCAGAGACUAGGGACAAUCCAGGUCUGAAGUGGGAAAGGCCAAUGUUUGUUCCUAAAAGGUGGCAACUGGCCAGCUGUUAUUUCUCUGACUAGUCUUCAGGAUAUCUUGGCUCUCUCUCUGGAUUCUUGGCCCUGCCCUAUUGGUCAACUUUUUUUUUUUUUUUUUUUUUUUGAGGUCAUAGGAGGUAGCCCUUGCUUACAGUGAGUAGUUUCAUCAGCCUGCUUCCUGCCAGUGGAAUCUGGGGAGUCUGAUAGCCUCCUUUCACGUUGUGCUUCCUCCUUUAAAUCCAGGCAGCAGUAUGUCUUUUUUUUUUUGUUUUAUUGUUUUAAAAAAUUAUUAAAGUUGAUUUACAAUGUUCUGUCAAUUUCUGCUGCACAGCAAAGUGACCCAGCUCUACAUCCAUAUACAUUUUUUUUUCACAUUACCCUCCAUCAUGUUCCAUCGCAAGCGGUCAGAUAUAGUUCCCAGUGCUAUACAGCAGAAUUGCAUUGCUUUUUUAAAAAUUUUAAAGCAUUUUUAUUAAAAUUUUUUUAUUAUAGUUGAUUUACAAUGUUCCAUCAAGUUCUGUGAGAAGUUUCUUAAAACCUUUGGAUAUCUUCUGUGGAUUUUUCGUGAUGCGUUCCAUCAGACUGAAGCCACAUCUAAAAGGACACAUCUGUCCUUUUAGCGACAAUCACUUCUCUGAGUUGGCCCUGCCGGGAUGACUGAGAGGAUUGGCGAGCCGCACGUUUCAUCUCUUGAGAAGGCUCUUUGCAUGACUGAAUUCUCUAACUACUUGGUAUAUAAAAGGAUAUAUACGUAUAUAUAUAUAUGACAGGAAACAGACAGGAAACGGAUUUACCUAAAAUAUCAUGAGCCAGAAAACACCGGUAAAUAUUGGGUGCUGCAGGAAAGGCAGUGUAAGAGAGGUUUUGGGUGAGGAGAUGAAAGGGAGGCAAGAGACAAAUCUGAGCAGAAGCCAGGAGGAGUGGAUAAUGGGGAAAGGGGUUGUACGAGGGUGUUAUUUUAAAACUUGCCCUUGGAUAAGCAAUGAGACCGUCCUGUAUAUAGCACAGAGAACUGCAUCUAGUCUCUUGGGAUAGACCGUAGUGGAAGAUAAUAGGAGAAAAAGAAUGUGUAUAUAUAUAUAUGUAUGACUGAGUCACUAUGCUGUACAUACAGCAGAAAUUGACGGAACACUAUAAAUCAGCUAUACUCUAAUUAAAAAAUAAAUGAAAAAAACCUUGCCCUAUGUGGCAUGAUUCAAUUUUCUCACUGCCACAUCCUUGGAGACCUAAAUUACAUUAAACAUUUUAGAAUUGUAUUUGGUUUUUCUUUUGAUAUAAAACUGCUAAAGUACACUGAUUCACUGGAAGUUCAAGGUCCCUCUUUCCGUCCUAGGACAUUGGCAACCACAAGCGUAUUGAUUGGGCCAUGUAUACCAGCAGAUGGAGACAUUGCACUUUAGAAAUUCAAGGCAACCUGAGCUUUCCCUUCUCCCUUUCAGAUGUGGAGUGUGGCAUUUCUUCCUAGAGGAUGGGAAACCAGCUCGGCCAGCUCUCAUUGCCCUGACUAGUCCUUUCACAUUUCCAGAAUAUGUUGAAAUCAGAGAUGUGGUUUUGGAUGUUUGGGAAGCAAAGAAGCAUAAAAUGGAGCAGAAGGUAAAGCCAGCUUUUGCCUGAAGAUGGAGUUCAGUCUUUUUACAUGUUUUAGCAGGGAUUUGUCUGCUAGAGACAAGUGAUGCUGCCUCACAUCUACUCCUCAUUGGCUGGAGAGAAAACCAUUAUAUCCUUAAAAAUAGCUCUGCAAAAUCUCUUUGCCGUCAUUGUCUUUAUUUGAGUGUUAGAGUUGAGCGUCAGCAUUAAAAGUCAGAGUUUUGGGGAAGGGAAGUAGCUGUAGGAAGCCACUUAGUACGUAAGCGUACCUUCCAUCUUCCAGGGCACCCUGCUCUUGCCUCGACACAGUUGCUCUAACAUCAAAGGGAGGUGAUAGGAUCAGCAGUGGGAGGAGGGGACAGAGUCACAAUUAGAUCAUGAAUCUUAAACCAGUGGUGGCUCAGCACUAACAGGUAUUCAAGAAGUAAUUAACUAUAAAUGUUAGCAGCUUAACGUGUUUGCCUCUUGGGAAAUCCAGGGGAUAGGUCUUGUGUGAAGGGGUCAAAUAAACAUCAGAGUCAAAUAAACAUCAUUUGUAAC